rnacentral:rRNA from 1 species
UACGAAGGGGGCUAGCGUUGCUCGGAAUUACUGGGCGUAAAGGGCGCGUAGGCGGACAGUUUAGUCAGAGGUGAAAGCCCAGGGCUCAACCUUGGAAUAGCCUUUGAUACUGGCUGUCUUGAGUUCGGGAGAGGUGAGUGGAAUGCCGAGUGUAGAGGUGAAAUUCGUAGAUAUUCGGCGGAACACCAGUGGCGAAGGCGGCAUCCUGGACCGAGAUUGACGCUGAUGCGCGAAAGCCAGGGGAGCAAACGGG